rnacentral:sRNA from 1 species
CUUCGGUGACUUGUUGCGGGCAGAUGUAGUGGACAUGGACGUCUACAGCGCCUGCUGUGACGAUGAGCUUUUCGCCUGCAAUCACUUCGGUGGAGGAACCAAUGACGAGGGAAGGAUGGACGCCGGCCAUGACGUCUGGGUUCCCCGCUUUGCCUAUACCGACAAUGAUUCCGCUUCGGACUCCAAUGUCUGCCUACACCAACACGAGAUGAGAUAUAACGGGUGUGAAUGUGAGACCAAAAAGAAUUACCUUGUAAAUCCCGGACCAGUCGACGAUGAGGCAAUUCGUGAUGACGAGGUCGAGCGUAGAGGAAGAAGAACGGUUCGUAGCUUGGCCCAUACCCUCGCGAAUG